UGCGUAGGCGGCCCUGAAAGUUGGGUGUGAAAUCCCUCGGCUCAACCGAGGAAUUGCGCCCAAAACUACAGGGCUUGAGGGAGACAGAGGUGAGCGGAACUUGCGGUGGAGCGGUGAAAUGCGUUGAUAUCGCAAGGAACACCAGGGGCGAAAGCGGCUCACUGGGUCUCUUCUGACGCUGAGGCACGAAAGCUAGGGGAGCGAACG
rnacentral:rRNA from 1 species